CCCAGGUGGGAGGCUGCAGGGCCCAGGUGCCAGUGCUCAGGCAGCUCUCUGGGCUGGGCUCCGGUGCCCACACCGUUCACCCAGGCUGGCCCUGCCUGGCCUCGGGGCUGCGUGUCUGAGGGCAGAGGCUCCAUCCCAGGCGCCCUCUGCCCAUCGGGCAGCGGGGCCCUUGCUCUUGGCUGAGGGCGCAGAGAGGCUGGGGAGGGCUGGGCCUGGCUGCUCAGGCUGCUCCUCCCUGGGCCUGCAUCAGCCCUCUGGGCCUCAGUUUACCUCUUUGCACAGCGGAGCCGUGUGCCAGCUAUUCCCCAGGUGCCUGAAGCUUGGGGAAGGCAAUGGCUUUGGGAGUGUUUCAUGGGCUGCGACCCGGGAAGGGGGGUGCUCACCACCCCCAGUCACACAAAUAUCCGCCCCUGGAGCCACGUGCUCCGAAUGGUCCCCAGGGUGCACACACUGACUCCUGUGUGUGAGCCCUGCCAGGAGCUCACCAGCUCAGGACCCUGCUCCACUCCCUUCGGAGGAUACAGCCUGGAGCCGAGGCCCCGGCCCCCUCCUCUCCGUCAGGCCUGCCAUGCCCCGGGCCUCAGCCACGUCCUGUCACACCCUCCCGACACGCAAGGUGGAGAGGUCACACACAUGCGCUCCGAACCUGGCCACCCUGCAGAGCUGGGCCUGGGCUCAGCUCCCCUGGAGGGGCUGGGCCUGGGCAGCUCAGGAAGAAGUGGAGGCGGUGGAGGUGGGACGGUGGGCCAGGCCAGCUGGGCCGGGAGCACAGAGGCAUCCUGACCCUGAGCCCAAGUGACGCCCAGAGCAGACCAAGGGAGCGCGCUGCACCCCAGCCGGCUCUGUACUCGGUGGACGAGCAGUACUCACCCAGCGUGCCCAGCAGGAAUGUGACGGCCAGCAGCGGGGACCCCAUGGGCACGGCCUGCUCCUGCCCGGCCUCGAGCUGCUGCCGAUGACAAAGCCACGCGAGUCCCUCGCUGUGCCAGGCGUCAUGAUGUCAAGAUCGCACGUGUGCGGGACACACACUAACCUCCCCCUGCUUCACUAGAGGCAACACCACUGGCCUGUGGGCCAGGACAGUGGCCCAGGUCACCUCGCAGGACCUGGAGGCCCCGAGGCUGGAAAUGCUGACUCCUCCCCGUCCCCAUGUCUGGUGGGUGGAAGGCUCGCACUCUGCCUUCGAUCCACCCCUCCCCUUUGCCAUCUCCAGGGGCCUGAGUGUGGACGUGUUGAUUGCCUGGAUUUGGCACUGUCUCCCUCCGCUGCCUGUGCUCUUCCGGCUGCUCCCAGUCCUCUGGCCAUGCCGAGGCUCCAGCCCCAGGGGCGAGUCCGGUGCCUGUCCCUUGCCCAAGAAUGAAUCUAUCUUUUGACACUGUGCCCCACGGCCCGUGGGAAAUAGCCAGCCUUUUGCCCACCGAGCACAUCAAUAAAAGCUGCUUUUCCCUUCGUUCCGGAAGCUGCCUGGACCCCUCUCAGUUGGUCCUGACCCCUUUGGCUCAAGCUGGAGCUGAGUGGCCGGGGCAGAGGACCCAAAAGGCCUAGCCUGUGUGGUGACAUUCAGCUACAGUUGGUGUCGUUUCUGGGGUAACGGAUUUCUGGGGACUCUGCUAGGACGGGGAGCUGAGCCUGGCUGGGGCUGCUGGAUGCAGGGCUCUGGAGCCACUCGGCCCAGGCCUUUGGUGCACAGUCGCUGCAGCCUCCAUGUCCGGAGGUGUCCCUGUCCCAGCUCCUCCCCACCCCUUGCUUCUGUGUCCCCUUCUCUGGGCUCCUUUGCCCCAGCUGUUUGCACACAGGGAGCACAGACUCACCCAUGUGCCCUGGCUCCCUGAGUUUGCACACUCGCCGGGGAUGAGUGGGGCUGUGCGGGACCUGGGAGCUUCUGAGCUCCCUGGCCGCUUUCCUUCCGGGAUCCCUCAGGAGUCCCGCUGGAAACAGGCCGUGGGGCCAGUCCCGCCUGGGAGGGGUUGGCCUCCCCAAGCGGGAAGGGGUGAAGUUCCCUAACUUCCGUGGGACGUUAACAUUUCACCCGGGAGUUCCAAUUUGUGUCAGCGAGGACGCGGCUCCCUUUCUUC
ensembl:lncRNA